GCACAAUGGGCGCAAGCCUGAUGCAGCCAUGCCGCGUGUAUGAAGAAGGCCUUCGGGUUGUAAAGUACUUUCAGCAGUGAGGAAGGCGGGUACGUUAAUAGCGUGCUUGUUUUGACGUUAGCUGCAGAAGAAGCACCGGCUAACUCCGUGCCAGCAGCCGCGGUAAUACGGAGGGUGCGAGCGUUAAUCGGAAUUACUGGGCGUAAAGCGCAUGCAGGUGGUUUGUUAAGUCAGAUGUGAAAGCCCGGGGCUCAACCUCGGAAUUGCAUUUGAAACUGGCAGACUAGAGUACUGUAGAGGGGGUAGAAUUUCAGGUGUAGCGGUGAAAAUGCGUAGAGAUCUGAAGGAAUACCGGUUGCGAAGGCGGCCCCCUGGACAGAUACUGACACUCAGAUGCGAAAGCGUGGGGAGCAAACAGGAUUAGAUACCCUGGUAG
rnacentral:rRNA from 1 species